UACGUAGGGGGCAAGCGUUGUCCGGAAUCAUUGGGCGUAAAGAGCGCGUAGGCGGUCCGAUAAGUCGGCUGUGAAAGUCAAGGGCUCAACCCUUGAAAGCCGGCCGAUACUGUCGGACUAGAGUCCGGAAGAGGCGAGUGGAAUUCCCGGUGUAGCGGUGAAAUGCGCAGAUAUCGGGAGGAACACCAAUGGCGAAGGCAGCUCGCUGGGACGGUACUGACGCUGAGGAGCGAAAGCAUGGGGAGCGAACAGG
rnacentral:rRNA from 1 species